AACAAUAUCUACAGAGUCAUCUGGAUCGCUAACACCAGUUCAAACACUUGCAAAAUACCCACACCCACGCAAAUGAGUUAUGGAAGCACAGGUCAUGACUUCCUUGUCUGCUCCAAACCCUGCCUUCCAGGCGCAAAAUCAAUGCUUAAGCCCAGUCCAAAUCACCUCAUCUUCAACACCAACCUCCCAAAACCGGCGUUUUCUCUCAAAACUCCAUCUGGGUAUUUCACAACCAGGGCCAAGACAGCCAUUAACAGCAGCCACAAUCUGUAUCUGACAGAAGAGGCCUCAGAGAGUUUCUACUGUUUGUUGGGCGUUUCAGAGGCUGCAACACUCUCAGAAAUCAAGCAGGCUUACAAACAACUAGUCCUCAAGUACCACCCAGAUGUGUCUCCACCUGACUCUGCCAAGGAAUUCACCAGGAUGUUCAUUCGGAUCCAGGAGGCCUAUGAGACGUUGUCUGACCCAAGACUAGAGAUUUGUAUGACAGUGAUUUGACCAAGGGUUUACAUGUGGCGUUCUCCGCUCAAAAACUGUACCGGUCUCAUCAACCAGGAAUGGAUAUGAGUGGAGAUUGGAAAAGCAGAUGGCAAGCACAACUCGGAGAGUUGGAGAGGAAGAGCGCAAGUAGGAAUUCAAACGAUAACAAGUCAUGGGCAGCAAGAGUCCGCAUGCGAAGAAGUAAAUCAAGUAUCUAAUCAUGGAUUUCAACACAGGCUUUCAAUUACGGACAUUAAUGUUUCGGUUUAAUUAUCUUAUAAUAUAUUUGGCAGUA